rnacentral:rRNA from 1 species
UGGGGAAUAUUGGACAAUGGGCGAAAGCCUGAUCCAGCCAUGCCGCGUGUGUGAAGAAGGUCUUCGGAUUGUAAAGCACUUUAAGUUGGGAGGAAGGGUUGUAGAUUAAUACUCUGCAAUUUUGACGUUACCGACAGAAUAAGCACCGGCUAACUCUGUGCCAGCAGCCGCGGUAAUACAGAGGGUGCAAGCGUUAAUCGGAAUUACUGGGCGUAAAGCGCGCGUAGGUGGUUUGUUAAGUUGGAUGUGAAAUCCCCGGGCUCAACCUGGGAACUGCAUUCAAAACUGACUGACUAGAGUAAGGUAGAGGGUGGUGGAAUUUCCUGUGUAGCGGUGAAAUGCGUAGAUAUAGGAAGGAACACCAGUGGCGAAGGCGACCACCUGGACUAAUACUGACACUGAGGUGCGAAAGCGUGGGGAGCAAACA